GAUGAACGCUGGCGGCGUGCCUAAUACAUGCAAGUCGAGCGAACGGACGAGAAUCUUGCUUCUCUGAUGUUAGCGGCGGACGGGUGAGUAACACGUGUAUAACCUACCUAUAAGACUGGUAUAACUUCGGGAAACCGGAGCUAAUACCGGAUAAUAUUUUGAACCGCAUGGUUCAAAAGUGAAAGACGGUCUUGCUGUCACUUAUAGAUGGAUCCGCGCUGCAUUAGAUAGUUGUUAAGGUAACGGCUUAUCAAGGCAACGAUGCAUAGACGACCUGAGAGGGUGAUCGCCCACACUAGAAGUGAGACACGGUCCAGACUACUACGAGAGGCAGCAGUAGGGAAUCUUCCGCAAUGGGCGAAAGCCUGACGGAGCAACGCCGCGUGAGUGAUGAAGGUCUUCGGAUCGUAAAACUCUGUUAUUAGGGAAGAACAUAUUUGUAAGUAACUGUGCAGAUCUUGACGGUACCUAAUAAGAAAGCCACGGCUAACUACGUG
rnacentral:rRNA from 1 species